AAACCCUUUGUGACUUAUACCUUACUGUUGCCUCGGCGCAGGCCGGCCCCUCCCGCGGGGCCCCUCCGGAAGGAGGAGCAGCCCGCCGGCGGCCAACUAAACUCUUGUUUCUUAGUGAAUCUCUGAGUAAAAAACAUAAAUGAAUCAAAACUUUCAACAACGGAUCUCUUGGUUCUGGCAUCGAUGAAGAACGCAGCGAAAUGCGAUAAGUAAUGUGAAUUGCAGAAUUCAGUGAAUCAUCGAAUCUUUGAACGCACAUUGCGCCCUCUGGUAUUCCGGAGGGCAUGCCUGUUCGAGCGUCAUUUCAACCCUCAAGCACUGCUUGGUGUUGGGGCACCGCCUGUGAAAGGGCGGGCCCUGAAAACUAGUGGCGAGCUCGCCAGGACCCCGAGCGUAGUAGUUUAUAUCUCGUUCUGGAAGGCCCUGGCGGUGCACUGCCGUUAAACCCCCAACUUCUGAAAUUUUGACCUCGGAUCAGGUAGGAAUACCCGCUGAACUUAAGCAUAUCAAUAAGCGGAGGAA
rnacentral:rRNA from 1 species